AAAAUAUUUCGUAAAUUUUUUGUUACGCUUAUUACAUGUAAUAUUACGUAUUAUAUUGUUCUAGAGCAUAACCUAUAAUUUCCGCGAAAAGAUAUGCUUAUACAUAUUAUACAGAGCUUUACUCAUGUCUGUAUAAUAUCUUUAUUGAAAGGAAGACAAAGAAAGGUCUACAGAAAUAAAAAAUUUCAGAAAAAUGAAUGAAUGUAAAAAAGAAUGAUUUAUUUUAUUAAAAAUCAGUUUGUAACUUUAGUUACAAAUUUCUCCGUCUAUGACAUUUCAUGUUCAUAUGUUCAUGUUUUGUGUAGAAAAAUUUAGUUUAUAAGAGAGUCAUAUAUUGAUUAUUGAUUAAACUAUAUAGUAUUAAUA